AGGAGGUGUUUUCAUCUCAGGUGUGAACAAACCACCAGAACGUCCACUUGUGAUCAGAUCUGUGAGGACGGAUGUUAACACCAGGUCUGAACAGGGCCAGUGUGUCUGUCUUUAUGUGUGUGUAUGUGUGUGUGUAUGUGUGUUCUCAGCUGUCCCAUUCUAUACUCUGUGUGUCCUCUUCUCUGUCGUCCUCAUCGGAGUCGGCUGCUACAUUCUUCAUCCUCAUCAUGGCGGCUUUGAUGCUGCGCUCCAGCUCGUUGUCUCCGCUGCUCGGGGCCUCAGCACGUGAAGGAUCCACCUGCAGCAGGACAAGAGGCCAGUUAAUCCAGGUUUCACUCCUGUCACAUGUUGGGUGACGCCGUGUCGGAUGGCCAACAUCAGACUGUUCCUCGGGUCAUCAGCAGAGGGCGCUGUCUUGCGAUCAGGGACUUUUCGAAGCCGAGUCUGUCCACGCUGCAGUGAGGCCAACACUUCAUCCAUUGUUCCUGUAGUAAAACAACAGAUAACGAGAAAAGACACUUGAGGUGCGAUGGAAGUGAAUUGACUUUUGACGUCACUGCUGAUGCAGCCUGCACAGAGGACUCUCCUUGUUCUCACUGGUGAUGAAUCUCUAUUUAUUUUUAACAACAAGCUUCAUCCAUUUCACAAAAGCUCAGAAACAUGAAGUCAUGUUGGAUGUUUGUGUCUCUGGAGCCGAGUGUGUGCAUCAGCAGGACAGACACUGAGGUAAAGUUGGGAAUUUAGGACAGAACACUACGUGUACAGAAACACACACACACUCUUCCCUGUAGUCUGACGAAAUUCUCCACCAUCUGUAUUUUAAAUUGACAUCAUCAAUGUUUUAUGUACAAACACAUUUGACUCUCACCUAUGUUUUGCUUGAGCGUGUUCCUUGCUGGGAAAGGCGGCUCCUCGUUUUCGCUGAGAGGCUUCGGUGUGUCCUCAGGGGAAGCCUGGGCUGGAGGAGGGAAGGCAGGGGGCAGUGGUGGGGGAGGUGGAGGAGGUGGCGGGGGCGGAGGCGCAGUAGGGAUAUUUGUUGACGGAGGCGGCGGUGCACAGUAGAUUUGGACGGGGACGUCUUUCGGCUGCCGUUUCUUGGAGGCUCUACUGCGUCUGGGCUCAGGGCCGACAGAGAGGGAGGGAAACUCAGAUGAGGGGCCGAGGCUGAUGAUGGACAGCGGCUGGGAGGGACAGGGGACGAGGUCUGAAGGAGACAUCCUGGAGUGAGGAGUUUUCAGGAUGUACUGGCCAUGUCGCUUCUGGAAGAAAAUGGUGACAGAGCAGAGAAAGUGGUUGUAGAGACGGUCGGAUGUUUUAAACAGGUCUCACAGUCACUUGAGAUUAAACUGAAGUGACAGAGGCCACGUGCACAAAGAACAUUAAAAACCAUGAUGCUGAAGAGACAGUAAAUCCUCCUGAGCUGCUCCACUGGGAAGUUUUAAAACAAGAAACUAGUGGGUUGAUCAUCUGACUUCAAUAUCCUUCAGUUUCUUAGAAAGACGAACAUGACAGAGUCAACCUGACCGGACUCUUUCAGCAAAAUGAUAUGACUGAAGUCUUUAACAUCUAAAUUUGAGGAAUCCUUUCUCAAAACCGUAGGUAUCUAAUAUCAAUCCAUGUUUUAAAGAUAGUUGGUGCCCACAAAAAAUAAAAAGAGCAUCUCUGAGAAAAUAAACAGAGCCUCCAGAUCAGACUCCCUUCAAAGAGCUAAACAGAAAUUCUAAAUAUGUGUAAAUAAAUAUAUAAGUAUGAAUUAUAUCUUUAAUAAUGAGGUGAACUGUCCUGGUGUAAAUCAGGAGCCUCUGGGGUAAAAAAGAGGAGAAGCUGCAGGGGGGGGGGGGGGUUGAGAAGAUGAGAGAGCUUUACCUGUCUGAAGGAUCGUAAUCUGCUCAGAGUCUUCUCUCGCUCCUGGUCCACCCACGUCUUCCUCCUGUCCUCCUCCUCUUUCUUCUUCUCUCGUUUCUGCAGACAACAGAGGGAGACAGUGAGAGGUGCUGGAGAGAAAAGACCAGACACUGUUUCUUUUGCGGCUUUUUGCGGCAGCGUCUCUGUGACGUACCAGACGGACAUGAUGAUGCUGGUUGAAGACUUCGGAGCUCUGCUUGGCCGCGUGAUGCUUCUGCCCUUGGGCAUCCAUGCACUGAUCCUAAAACACACAGGAAGAAGAACAUACUUAAUAUUCAUAUAUAAAAGGGAAUUCGAAUUUAGAAGGUGUUCCCACGUCCUUCACAGUUGAGUUGUUUUUAAUUUACAGUAAGAGUUUUCAUCUUUUUUGCAGCAUUGUUGAAUAACCGGGCCUGUGACUCUUGCUCCCUGUGGAUUACUGGAUGGGAUUGCAGGAGUUUUUAAUCAGGAAAUUCUUCUGAGUUUUUUUAAUCAAACAAAUGAGCAGCCAGGAGAGGGAGCAGACAACUAUCAAAUAUUCUUAAAUUACUCUACAGGCUAAAAAAUAUAACCAUGUUGAUAUCUUAAGAAAAAAAGAAAUCUGAAAUUUGAGCAGAGAGCAGAUAAAGAGUAGGAAAAAAAAGCCCCAUAUUUUUUAAUUGACAUUUCCCAUUAUUUCCUGUCUGCUUCUCACAGAUCGAUACGUUUGCCCUUGAAAAGCAGCAAAAUGUCACUAAAAAUCUAUUUUAAUGGAGAGAAUGUCUGCUUAAAAGAGAGUGAAUGUCAGCGCUGCCUGUCCCCACCUUCUUGUUGCGGAGGUAAGCUCGCCGGGCGCAGAUGUGGCCUCUCUUGGCCUCCAGGGUCUGUAGGCGUCUUUUGAGGGGAGUGGCAGCGGGAGGGUCUGAUUGGUGGAUCCCCGUGUGGACCAAGCUCUGCAGCUCCUCUGGAUCCUCACACACGUCGUAGUAAACCACCUCCUCCUUCAGCUCUGAAACACAAAUGCAGUCAAGUAACUCUGAAAGCUCCUCACCGGGUACACGUACAAGUAAACUGUGUUUUUAUGUUCAUGAAAUAUGGAACACCUACACUCAUGUGCCAGACAACCAAGCAAAGGAGUUGUGGCACAACAACAAAACAGAAGACGGCACUCAUUAUGUUGUGUUUUCGUUUGUUUGAUUGUCAACAGGAUGAGUAAAAAACUACUGAACGGUUUUCCACAGAACUUUGUAGCAGGAUGGGACACAGGACAAGAAAGAAGCCACUAAGACUUGGCUCAGAUCUGGAUAAGCAGCCGGAUCAAGGGAUUUUCUUUCCCCUUUCCUAAACAUUGCAAGAUAAGAUGUAUUUUUAGAUUUAGAGGGAAGAAUGUAUAAAUCUUAAUGGGAAUAUAAAUAAAUUCAAUUAUUUCCUGU